rnacentral:rRNA from 1 species
ACACUGACGUCGCGACGCAUAUCAAUAAGCGGAGGAAAAGGCUGCGGAACUGAACGACCGCUACCUACGCUUAGGAUGUUGACGAGACUGUCGAUCUCAUCUACUACAUGACUCUGUGCAUAUCAAUAAGCGGAGGAAAAGAAACUAACAAGGAUUCCCUUAGUAACGGCGAGUGAAGCGGGAAGAGCUCAAAUUUGAAAUCUUCAAGGUUCUACCUUGACGAAUUGUAGUUUAUAGAAGUGUUUUCUGUUAGUGGAGUGGCAAAAGUUCUUUGGAAUAGGACAUCAUAGAGGGUGAGAAUCCCGUAUUUGGUCAUUCCUCCUAGCGUUGUGAUACACUUUCAACGAGUCGGAUUGUUUGGGAAUGCAGUCCAAAAUGGGUGGUAAAUUUCAUCUAAAGCUAAAUAUUGGCGAGAGACCGAUAGCGAACAAGUACCGUGAGGGAAAGAUGAAAAGAACUUUGAAAAGAGAGUUAAACAGUACGUGAAAUUGCCAAAAGGGAAGCGUUUGACACCAGUGUUGUUUUUCCGAAAAUCAAUACGAAUGUUUUGUUUUUGAGGAGUUAUGACUUCAUCGGCUUGCUCCUUUCUUUACGAAACUUUCUUAAUGCACUUUUCGGUUAACAAGUCAACAUCAAUUUCUUUUGUUGUAAAAGGGUAUGAGGAAGGUGGCUUUCCUUUCGGAGAAAGUGUUUAUAGCCUUGUGCCUCUGCAAUCGGAGAGAUUGAGGUCUGCAGCGUAGAUCCUUCGGGGUUAGAUACGUUUGUGCUAAGUUAUAGCUUUUCAUAGACAACUUGUUGACUAUGUUUAGUCUUGUAGCUUACUCGCUUACGCUAUUUUACCUACGCUUAGGAUGUUGAGUAGCGACAUACGCAC